rnacentral:rRNA from 1 species
GAAACGACUGCUAAGACUGGACCUAGCAAUAGGUAUGCUUAGGGAAGAGCUUGCGUCACAUUAGUUAGUUGGUGGGGUAAUGGCCUACCAAGACGAUGAUGUGUAGCCGGGCUGAGAGGUCGAACGGCCACAUUGGGACUGAGACACGGCCCAAACUCCUACGGGAGGCAGCAGUAAGGAAUUUUCGGCAAUGGAGGAAACUCUGACCGAGCAAUGCCGCGUGAACGAUGAAGUAUUUCGGUACGUAAAGUUCUUUUAUUAGGGAAGAAAAGAUGGUGGAAAAACCAUUAUGACGGUACCUAAUGAAUAAGCCCCGGCUAACUAUGUGCCAGCAGCCGCGGUAAUACAUAGGGGGCAAGCGUUAUCCGGAAUUAUUGGGCGUAAAGGGUGCGUAGGCGGUUAAAUAAGUUUAUGGUCUAAGUGCAACGCUCAACGUUGUGAUGCUAUAAAAACUGUUUAGCUAGAGUUGGAUAGAGGCAAGUGGAAUUCCGUGUGUAGUGGUAAAAUGCGUAAAUAUACGGAGGAACACCAGAAGCGAAGGCGGCUUGCUGGGUCUUAACUGACGCUGAGGCACGAAAGCGUGGGGAGCAAACAGGAUUAGAUACCCUGGUAGUCCACGCCCUAAACGAUGAGUACUAAACGUUGGAUAAAACCAGUGUUGAAGUUAACACAUUAAGUACUCCGCCUGAGUAGUACGUACGCAAGUAUGAAACUUAAAGGAAUUGACGGGACUCCGCACAAGCGGUGGAUCAUGUUGUUUAAUUCGAAGGUACCCGAAAAACCUCACCAGGUCUUGACAUGCUUUUGCAAAGCUGUAGAAAUACAGUGGAGGUUAUCAGAAGCACAGGUGGUGCAUGGUUGUCGUCAGCUCGUGUCGUGAGAUGUUGGGUUAAGUCCCGCAACGAGCGCAACCCUUGUUGUUAAUUGCCAUCAUUAAGUUGGGGACUUUAGCAAGACUGCCAAUGAUAAAUUGGAGGAAGGUGGGGACGACGUCAAAUCAUCAUGCCCCUUAUGACCUGGGCUACAAACGUGAUACAAUGGCUGUUACAAAGGGUAGCUAAAGCGUAAGCUUCUGGCGAAUCUCAAAAAAGCAGUCUCAGUUCGGAUUGAAGUCUGCAACUCGACUUCAUGAAGUUGGAAUCGCUAGUAAUCGCGAAUCAGACACGACUGCUAAGACACCACAUUCUCGGGGUUUGUACACACCGCCCGUCA